rnacentral:rRNA from 1 species
GGUGCUGCAUGGCUGUCGUCAGCUCGUGUCCGUGAGAUGUUGGGUUAAGGUCCCGCAACGAGCGCAACCCUUGCCUUUAGUUGCCAGCAGUUCGGCUGGGCACUCUAAAGGGACUGCCGGUGUUAAACCGGAGGAAGGUGGGGAUGACGUCAAGUCCUCAUGGCCUUUAUGACCAGGGCUACACACGUACUACAAUGGCCGAUACAAAGGGCAGCGACACUGCGAGGUGAAGCCAAUCCCGUAAAAUCGGUCUCAGUCCGGAUUGGAGUCUGCAACUCGACUCCAUGAAGUUGGAAUCGCUAGUAAUCGUGGAUCAGCAUGCCACGGUGAAUACGUUCCCGGGCCUU